rnacentral:rRNA from 1 species
UACGUAGGGUCCGAGCGUUGUCCGGAAUUAUUGGGCGUAAAGAGCUCGUAGGCGGUUUGUCGCGUCUGCUGUGAAAUCCCGAGGCUCAACCUCGGGUCUGCAGUGGGUACGGGCAGACUGGAGUGCGGUAGGGGAGAAUGGAAUUCCUGGUGUAGCGGUGGAAUGCGCAGAUAUCAGGAGGAACACCGAUGGCGAAGGCAGUUCUCUGGGCCGUAACUGACGCUGAGGCACGAAAGCGUGGGGAGCAAACAGG